AGAAAGAUCAGCUAAAUUAAGCUAAUGGGUUCAUACCCCAUUUAUAGAGGUUCUAACCCUCUUUUUUCUA
rnacentral:tRNA from 1 species